CUCUGACCAACACUACUGAUGGCCACUUGUAGCUACUGUAUUCUCCCCAUACCAUCCAUUUUGUCACUUAAUAUGCCACCUCAUCGUGUAUCCCUGUGAUUUUCUACAGAUCAAACCUAUUACAUCACGAAGUUAUGCCAAGAUUAAAACAGUUUUAAUGCUAAAUUUAAAAAAGUAUAGUUGUCUAAAAUUUUUUUAAUACUUACUACUAUUGGUCAGAUUGAUGGAAUAACUGAUACAAAAACAAAAACUGGUCAUUGAAACACAAAUUUUGGAGAUGAAACCUAAUAGUGAUGCAGUGUAUGUAAAAGGUACGUGAUGGUCUCUGGGCCAUACUGCCUGGGUUUGAAUCCAGGCUUCGCUAAGUAUCAGCUAGAUGACCUUGAGUAAGUUACUUAAUCUCAAAUCUCACAUCUGUAAAAUAGGAGUAAUAGUUCUUACCUAUUUCAAUUGUUGUAAAGAUUAAAUGAGUUACCACUUGAAAAGAACUUAAAAUACCUGGCAUAUGUAAAGUCUAGUUGCUAGCUAUUAUUUUGGUGGUUAUUAAAAUAUUAUUCAUCCCUGUUUACCUAGCAAUUUCUAUAAACCUGCCUUACAGAAACACUUGCACAAAUACACAAAGACACAUAUGACUAACAUUUUUAGAGGUGGGUGGAUCACUUGAGGUCAUCAGUUUGAGACCAGCCUGGACAACAUCGUGAAACCCUGCCUCUACUAAAAAUACAAAAAAUUAGCUAGGCAUGUUGGUGUGUGCCUGUAAUUCCAGAUACUAGGGAGGCGGAGACAGGAGAAUUGCUGAACCCGGAAGGCGGAGGCUGAAGUGAGCCGAGAUCGCGCCACUGUGCUCCUGCCUGGGCGACAGAGCAAGACUCCAUCUCAAAAAAAAAGCUAAAGACAACCGAUAUGUCUAUAAGUAGUAAACUAGUGAGUACAUCAUCAUAUAUCAUAUGACAUACUGUGAAUGCACACUAAACAGUGAAGGAACUCUUUUGUAUAUAAGAUAAGAUCUAUUUAAAAAAAAACUACAAUAUGCACUGAUAUGGUUUGGCUGUGUCCCCACCCAAAUCUCAUCUUGAAUUGCGGUUCCCAUAAUCUCCCCAUGUCAUUGGAGGGACCUGGUAGGAAGUAAUUGAAUCAUGGGGCACUUCCCCCAUGCUCUUCUCAUGACAGUGAGUGAGUUAUCAUGAGAUCUGAUGGUUUUAUAAGGAGCUUUUUCCCCUUUGCUCAGCAUUUCUCUUUCCUGUCACCAUGUGAAGAAGCACGUUUUCUUCCCUUUCUG
rnacentral:lncRNA from 1 species